CCUACGGGGGGCAGCAGUGGGGAAUAUUGCACAAUGGAGGGAACUCUGAUGCAGCGACGCCGCGUGAGUGACGCAGUCCUUCGUUCUGUAAAGCUCUAUCAGCAGGGAAGAAAGUGACGGUACCUGAACAAGAAGCUCUGGCUAAAUCCGUGCCAGCAGCCGCGGGAAUACGUAUGGAGCAAGCGUUAUCCGGAUGUACUGGUUGUAAAGGGAGAGUAGGUGGGAGAGCAAGUCCGAAGGGAAAACCCAACGAUCAACUAGGGGAAUGCUUUAGACACUGCGCAGCUGGAGUGCAGGAGAGGCUAGUGGAAUUCUUAGUGUAGCGGUGAAAUGCGUAGAUAUUAGGAGGAACACCAGUGGCGAAGGCGACUUGCUGGACUGUAACUGACACUGAGGCUCGAAAGCGUGGGUAGCAAACAGGAUUAGAUACCCCAGUAGUC
rnacentral:rRNA from 1 species